UGGCUUAGUUGGUAAAGCGCUCGUCUAGCAUACAAGAGUCCUGGGUUCGAAUCCCAG
rnacentral:tRNA from 1 species